rnacentral:lncRNA from 1 species
UAGCUACUGUCUCGAUUUCGUCUUCAUUUCUUACCCAUUGAUGCAUAGAGUUUCUUAGGCGAGUAAUUCUGUUGCGGGCUCGCUGUUGCUUUGUUUUCGCAUGAAAGUACUUUGUGUUUCGAUCUCCCGCUCGCAGCCACAUGACUCGACUCUUUUGUUUCCAAUACAGCUCCUCCUCCCUAUAAGUUUCACAAAGUUUCCAUUUCAACUCCAGUUCGUAAUAAUUAAUGAGGAUUUAUGUUCAUUGAAUAUCUACCAAUAUAUAUGCUCAUAUCACUCAAUAAUACUAAAAUUUUAAUAGAAUUUAAUUAAAUAUAUUUAGAAACUCUUAAACCAUUUAUAUACAAACCCUCUCUCCUACUUUUAUGUUCGUUGAGUAUCUACCAGUAUAUAUGCUCAUAGUUUUAAAAUCUAGUCACUAUAUUUCACUCAUUCUGCAAAUACUUUAGAAGUUACUAUUUAGCUAUGUGUAAUACUAAUAACAAU